rnacentral:sRNA from 1 species
AACAGAGCUAUAAAAUGAGAGGACA